UACGUAGGGGGCGAGCGUUGUCCGGAUUUAUUGGGCGUAAAGAGCGUGUAGGCGGUCCGGUAAGUCGGCUGUGAAAGUCCCAGGGCUCAACCCUGGGAUGCCGGUCGAUACUGCCGGACUAGAGUUCGGAAGAGGCGAGUGGAAUUCCCCGGUGUAGCGGUGAAAUGCGCAGAUAUCCGGGAGGAACACCUAUGGCGAAGGCAGCUCGCUGGGACGUUACUGACGCUGAGACGCGAAAGCGUGGGGAGCAAACAGG
rnacentral:rRNA from 1 species